rnacentral:ncRNA from 2 species
AGUAUUAAUGGCGAUGGGGUUCGCCUUUAACCGCCUAAACGGCUGAUAACUCCUACCGGUUA